UACAGAGGGUGCAAGCGUUGUUCGGAAUUAUUGGGCGUAAAGGGUGCGUAGGCGGUGCGGUAAGUCUGUAGUGAAAUCUCUGGGCUCAACUCAGAGUCUGCUAUAGAAACUGCCGUGCUUGAGUGUGGGAGAGGUGAGUGGAACUCCCGGUGUAGCAGUGAAAUGCGUAGAUAUGCGGAGGAACACCGAUGGCGAAGGCAAUCCCCUGGGCCUGCACUGACGCUCAUGCACGAAAGCGUGGGGAGCAAACAGG
rnacentral:rRNA from 1 species